AAAACAUGCCUACGGGAGGCAGCAGUGGGGAAUAUUGGACAAUGGGGGCAACCCUGAUCCAGCAAUGCCGCGUGUGUGAAGAAGGCCUGAGGGUUGUAAAGCACUUUCAGUGGGGAGGAGGAUUGUUUUGUUAAGAGCAGAAUGAUUGGACGUUACCCACAGAAGAAGCACCGGCUAACUCCGUGCCAGCAGCCGCGGUAAUACGGAGGGUGCAAGCGUUAAUCGGAAUUACUGGGCGUAAAGGGUUCGUAGGUGGUUAGAUAAGUUAUCUGUAAAAUCCCUGGGCUUAACCUGGGCAGGUCAGAUAAGACUGUUUGACUCGAGUAUGGGAGAGGGUAGU
rnacentral:rRNA from 1 species